GGACAGGACUCCUGCUGGGCUCCACCCUGUGCUCUCAACAUGGCUCUGUUGAGGGACACCAGUGGGUCAGUGGCCAAGCUGAACAGCUGCGAGCUGUGUCACUUCCCACUGGUCACCCUGACUGUACAGAAAGUGUUCAGUGCUCACCAUGCUUGGGUCUCGGAAUUCCACACAGUUCUGUUGGCAGUGGAGAGCCGCUGGCCAGGGCGAAAUGCACACAGUGCUUGGUGCCAGGCUUGUUCAUGCUCUUCACUGAGCUCCCUAGUCCUGUAAGAAAGAUGGCUGUGUAUGUAGACAGGGAAACUGAGGCACAGCACUAUUACAUAACAUCCAAGACCACUAAACUCCAGCACCCAACUACCUCUGUGGUGACUGACCUGACCCUGAAGGACAGUGGCUCCCUGGGAGGCAGCUCUUCCUUCUUCACAAAUUCA
rnacentral:lncRNA from 1 species